UGUCAGCUGCUCGGCUGCCCAUCGACCCACUGUAACCUCCCAACCAACCAAAAGGAGGCGCUGGCAAAUACUCAAGUUCUCUCCACCCUGUGCAUCCUCCCCCCAACCCUGGAGGGUGAUGUCAUCACCUCCGCUGACCCUCGACCUCAUCACCCAGCCCCCAUGGGGACCUAAUCCUCUUAUCCCAUCAAUCUGAUUCAACCUGUCCGCCCCGCACAGGGCAGGUGCACCACCGUCUCCGCUGUACACCAACCCCUUUCUUCCACCCUUUUGCCCCGCACAGAAAAGGCACAUCGGAAUCUCGGCUUUUCAUCGACCCACCUCCCCUCCGACUCCCCCAAGGGAAGCCACUGCCAGCGUCUCAUUCUCCAUCCGGCCGCUGUGCCCUCCUGGGGAUCUCAGGGGAGAGAGUCACAAUCUCCAAUUUCCACCAACUGAGCUCCCCUCCCAGUCACCCGCGAGGAAGGCCUAUCCUCGUCUCAGUUUAAACCAGUCCAAUCCCCCCCCUUAAAAUCCGUGGGGAAGGCAGAGCCUGGUCUCCCGUUUCCAUCGGUUCUCUCGAUGCCCAGCUGCCCGUCAGGAAGGCAUUGUCCGUCUCCAUCGGCCACGUGAGGAAAAGCGGGCUCCGAGGAGGUGGGCUCCUUCCAUGGGCACCCAGCAUGGAAGCGGGGCUCUAGACCCCAACCUGGCCGUGAGCUCUGGAGCCCACGUUCCACAGCCUCUUGAGGACGGACGUUCUCCUUAGGACUCAAGAACAUGGAUACGGAGGGGCUGUCAAAAGUGCCUAAUCAUCAUCUGGAAAGGAAAGCAGAAGCUUAUCUGAGCAAAACCUGGGCGCAGAGAGUGGGGUCGGAGGUGGGACCCCAGCAGUCUGAAGCCCCCUGGGGAAGUGGGAGCGUGCAGAGGGGAACACUGGCCAGGGAUUUCACUUCUCUCCGGCGGCAGAGGCCCCCACUUGGACCUGGCGCAUCUGUUGCACGAGGCCAGCGGGGCUGGCUCUGCCCCCACCCGCCCAGGACCAAGUCCACCCAAGGACGACGCCUCCCCCAAAGCCUCGUUCUCUCUGGCGGCCACACCCCUCCGGGGCCUUUCUUGGGAGAUUUUAGCAUCUUCGGUGCUUCCUGUGUUGAAAGCAUCCCUUUCGGUCGGCACAGAAGUCUCAGAUAUCAUCUCGCUUAACCAUUUAAGCUUGAAAUUGGUAAGCAGGGAUUUGAGGGUUCUUGUCAACCCUCCCUGCCGGUGUUCACGGGCUGGAGAUGUCGCCUCUUCCGAGCGUGUGGACUCACUGCUUUGCCUGAUGUCGGGGAACCCGGCUCUCUGCUUCCUGUUCAGACCUGUCAUCACGACCGCAGGCCACCCCUUCACUGCUUCCCCAGAGUUCUUGUUUAAGGGCGAGAAGCCAUUUUUGCUCAGGAGAGGGCUUCCACCUGCCCCCUCCCCCUGCCAUCAGACCACCCCCGGCGGCACCAGAGGUUCCGGAGGCCCCUCUGCCCCUUCCAUGUCGGCCAAGGCCCCACCUGCCAGCCCCCAAGCUCCAUGAGCUGGUCCUCCACUGGUCACUGCCAUGGUGGCCUCAACUCAGGGUUCUUCAACCUGUCUGCUCCCCGCCCCCUCCCGCAAGGACUGCAGCAGAAAACAGAAUGAGCCACUUUCUAUGAAGCACCAACUCCAAGGAUCAGCAGGAAGCCCAGAGAAGAUGCCAAGGAGACAGGCGCAGGGGGACGACACCAGGGUGGGGGGACAGAGUUGGUCCCGAUGGCAGGGGCAGCUCAGGGGGUGUCUGUGCCAGAGGUGGGUGAAGAUGGAGCCAGAUUAGGGCAGGCCGGAGGAACAUCAGGGUGACUGGCCGAGAGCCAGGCUCUCCGGGCUCCGUGCUCCUGCCUGCUCCCCAGCCCAGCAGUGAGGGGGCUUCCUCCGAGCGGGCCAGGGGGAGCUUGGCUUGGAGAGACGGGAAGAACACAGCAGCUGGGGACCCACAGGGGCUGGUAUUCUGGGUGCUCCACAGCUUCCCACUGCCCGCCCCCACCCUCCCCCGCCAACACUGGGCACACAGGACUCACCCCUGUGGGACCAGGGCAGCUCGGCAGGCAGGAUGCAUUCCCCGGGGAAUUAUCCGCUUUCAGCCGGGCAGGUUGGACCCUGUCGCUGAGGGCAGCAUCGCCAGCUGGACAAUCACGCUCUGUGAGAAUUUUUCUAGAACCCAACACAUGGGGAGAAAGAGGCAGGGAAGCAAGAAAAGCAAACUCGCGUGGCCUCCGCGCCCCCACGCAGGCUGCCCGGGGCUGGGGGUCGGAGGGCAGGGCCCAAACUGGAGCCUCCGACGUCCUCAAGCCUAGACGGGCGGGUUGCAAGGGCCCGCUGACUGUGCAGGGCAAACCGAAGCCGCUGAGGGACCGGAGCAGCUCCCACCCCGAGCGCGGCGGGCACCUCCCCGCCAGCCUCGUCCGUGCUCCCGAGGCUCCACCACUCCCUCCAUUGAGGCAUCAGCCGAGGGCUCUUCCUGCACCACCUGGCCUCCUUCUGGAAACUCUCCCUGCUCUUGUUCUCACGGCCACGGUCGCUGCCUGGCAUUAUGUGGUCUACAUCCGGCUCACGGUGCCCUGUGGCCUGGCAGUUCCACAAAUAAGGCUUUGUCCUUCUGCUUCCGGCUCUGUGCCCAGCCUUGGAGCUGUCCCAGCACACAGAAGAUGCCUAAUAAGUAUGUUUAAAUGAAUGAAUGAAGGCUACACAUUCCAUCAAAAAAUCUACUCGAGGAGUUCCCUGGUGGCCCAGCGGCUAAGGAUCCGUCAUCAUCGCCGCAGCGGCUCGGGUCGCUGCUGUGGCUCAGGUUUGGUUCCUGUCCUAGAACUUCCGAAUGCCGCAGGCGUCCCCCUCCCCCCAAAGCCAAAAGAGAUAAAAGGUGGGCUGCUCACCGAUGAAUCUCAUUGGACAGGAAUCUCAUUGUCAGCAGGCUUCUCCUUAGCAACACCGAGCGUGGCCAGAGCCGUGCCUCCAAAUGCUGAGGCGAAGAGGACGCAGCCACACGGUCCCUCGGGAGCCAGGAGGUCCCUUGAGAGUGACUGGGAGAUGGCUUAGUUCCUGGCAAACAAGCAUCCCAGAAGUUUCUGCCCACGCUUUCCGCAAGAUCUGCUAAAGCAAGAAGAGACCCAAAUCUGGGCUCCGAGGAGCAAUGGUGGCAAAGAAACUCCUGAGGUUACUCUUGGGUGGAGGGUACCCUCGCGAGCCAGGAGAUUUUUCCAAUAGCGUUUUUAAAGAGCCUUCUCCACGGUUAAUAACCAUGAUUUUGAUUUGUGAUGAUCACAAUGCCGUCACCAGAGAAGGGCCACGUGAGCAGAGGUCGUGGGGGAACCUCUCGUUCCCCUAGAAAGCGCCUAAGAGCCGUGGGCCCCAUGCGUGCACGCUGCCGCCGGGAGACGGACCCCGCUGAGUCCCGGUCAGUGCGCCUGCCAGCUCUCCAGCCCCGCGCUGCGGCUGAGCCCCCGGCAGCCCACAAGCCCUGCUGGGAUCUCUGGAGGAAGAGUGUGAGCUGAGGAAGCCCAAAGGGUGUCUGACCAAUCCGAUCCCCGCCAGGCAUCGAGGGUGGAAUUGGGCUCCACCGUAAGUGAUGCUGGAGCCUAGACCCCCGAGCUUCCAGGAUCUCAGAAUGUGACCCCAAUUAGAGUGAGGGUCGUGGCAGAUACACGUAGUUAAGACGCAGUCACACUGGAACAGGGUGGGUGGUCAUCCAGUGCGACCACCGUGCUGGCAGGAAGCGGGGAGAGGGCACCCUCUGAGGAUGGAGCCCCGGGCGCAGCCUGCACCCCCAGCCAGGGAAGCCUGCGGAGGCCUCAUCUCAGGCUUCCGGCCUCCUAACCACAAGACAGCACACUUCUGUUGUCUCAGGCCACCUGGUCUGCGGGGACUUUGUUAUGCAGCCCUAGAGUGUGGGAAGCAAACGUGAGUCCCCUCACUCCGCCCAGCCAUGCCCGUCCACUGACACGGGUCAUGGUGGAGGAGAGGACAGCAUUUAUUGCCAGCCAAGCAGGAGAGCGGGCAGCCCGUGCUCAGAGCUCGGGCUCCCCUGCCUGCUGAUUUCAGGGCCGGGGUUUCGAGGGCAGGGCUGGGGGCGGGGGGUGUGCAGGGCCUGGUCAGCUCUCCGGGGCGCUGGUCGGGCGAUGGGUCCGGAAUCUCGGUUAUCCGUUUUCGGGUUCCCGCCCAUCUGGGGUCUGGCGCUUGUGCUCGGCCCUCAGUGACCUUCCUCCCCCCGGUGGGGGUGGUGUUUCAGUGUCUGCAAAAGAGCUCGAGGCCGAGGCCGGGGCUCAGCGUGUUGUCCACAGCCCUCGAGGAGGAGCUUGAGGCCUUUUUUACUGGCCAACCCAUGACCGUGUGGUCUGGCUUGACGGUUUUCCUUUAUUUUUGCAUUUUCUCACUACUCUGAUUAAAUUUGCUCUUUGGAAUGUGGGGAGGCCUAGGUGGCUAAAGGUUUUCUACACAUGGGGAUGUGGGGGGUGGGGAGGUGGGGUGGAGCCCCCCGGGAGUCCCUGUAGGAUCCUGCUGCACUGGGACAGCAAUACUCCCGGUAAGUGUGGUUUUCUCUCGAGGUUCUGUUCCCUUUGUUGCUUUUUAGGGCCACACCCGCUGCCUAUGGAGGUUCCCAGGCUAGGGGUCCAAUUGGUGCCACAGCUGCCGGUCUACACCACAGCCACAGCCACGCACGGGGAUCCUUAACCCACUGAGCGAGGCCAGGGAUGGAACCCGCAACCUCUUGGUUCCUGGUCGGAUUCCUUUCUGCUGCGCCAAGACGGCAACUCCUCCCAAGGUUCCUGAAUCAAAGAAAUGUCCCAAAAUAACGCAGGAGAGAAAGAGGGGCUUCCCUUCGUGGGUGUCCCUGCCCAGCACGGAGGCUCAUGCUUGGAGCACCCGAGUCCUUUAAACCUGCUUAAAUAGGAUUGUUUUAAAUAAAAAUGAGGCAACCGUAGGAUGGCGAGAAGCAGGGAAAAGUACAAAAACCGUAAAGAACACGCAGUCCACUCCCUGCCCCCUGUGUCUCAUGGGCCGUCUGGUGGCGGUGCUUCUGGAUGUCACUCUGAGCACACACCCAGGGAGAGGGGUGUCGGGGAAAUAGAGGAAUGAGGAGGGGACAGAAAACAGAGGCGAUGCCUCCCAACGCCGUCUAAGCACGUGCUGUUUGACUGAAUUCGUUUUCGUGUCCGCCAGUUUAACGGGAGCGAGAGAGAGGCCAGCGACACAGAAGGGACGGGUGGAAGGCAGAUUCGGAUUUUUGCUGUAAGAGAUAUUUGUUUCUAAAAAGUCCCCGUAAAUGAAGAAGGAAGGUUUAAAAGCCAGUCAGAGGCUGACGCCUCUCCAGCCUCCGAGUCCCUCAGCGGGGCUUGUUCUCUCGGUCUGGAGGCGAGGUCAGAGGUCAAAGGGAAGCCAGGGGAACUUCCCUGCCUCCUCCAGCUCCUGGUGUGGCCGGCAGUGGUGGCAGUCCUGGGCCUGCGGCCACAUCACCCUCAGCCCCGCCUCCGUCGCCAGUGGCCUUCUCUGUGCGUCUGGGUGCACACUUGCGUCUUGUGUUGGACCGACGCUCACCUGACGACCUCGUUUUAGCUCAGGGACACCUGCAGAGACCUUUCCAAGCCUGCAGGCAGGGGGCUGGGACGCUGACAUGUCUGGGGACACCGUCCUUCUGGGUCUUUCUUCGAGAGGAUGCUCUUGGGUGCACGCGUGUGGUGUGUGGCAAGGCCCGGUGCUGCGCGAGCCCACACCCUCCCCGUCUCCGUCCCCGCCACUACCCUGGGUUUGCUCUUUGCAAUGUGCCGGCUUUGGGGGCCACGGCCAGAGCUGCAGCCAUGACUGUGCCACACUUGGCCUUCGGGUCUGGGUUUGAUGGUGUGGUUGUACCGUGCCUCCUGGGCUGAGACCCUGGACCAGCCCUGGCCUCGUAUCCAAGCCUGGGCCCCUGCACCCUGAGCAGGAGAGGAGUAGCUUCCUGCCUGCUGCCUGGGCUGGGGUCCUGGGGCGCCCGUCGGGGGAAGGAGCGGGGGCGUGUGCUCUGUCGGGCUGGGCCCUGUGCUGUCAUGUCACCGACCAGCCAGGCCCCGCGGAGGGAGUCCACGACUCCGGCUUCGACCACCUCGGAGCCCGCGAUGCAGCCUCUCUUCCCGGACUCCCUGCUGAGCUGUGUGGCCGCGUCCCCUGGAGGAGGCGGUGGGCUGUUGCCGAGGAGCUGGUUCGUGUUCCUGUUCCGGGGUGACCUGCACCCCGCGGGCUGGACGGUCUGGAGUCGGCUGACUGUGUUCAGAACCGCCGUCCUGGGGCUCUUCACCCCAAACGCCUGUCGUGGGGGCGGGGGCGGGAGGAGGGGGUGAGAGGUGAUGGCGUAUUUAAGGUGAUGUUUUUAAAAAGUCAGAAUGAAGCCACUGUGAUUCUGGCCUCCCAGACGGAGCCGUCGAGAACCCGAGUCUUCUCGGAACGGCACCGGCCUCGGGGACGCCCCCGCCCUUCUCAGAGCGACACCUCCGAGCAGCCGCCGCCCGCAGCCUGGCCGAUACACAGAUUCCUUGCAGACACCGACCCAUCCUCAUGUACGAGCGCCUUGACCGCUUCAGCUCCAGCCCAGGUCUUGAGAAGCGGUUUGCAGAACGAGGCCGCUGUCUGCCUUUCCAGCCUCCCCGUCUCGCGGCCGCUGGAACACAAGGCCAGAGCCUGGAUUCAGUCCUAACAGCCUCCGGAAUGAGCGCCUCUUUAUUGCAACCAGAGGAGGGGACAAGCGGCCACGGGGCUUUCGGCCCUGGACCUGGGGCUCCGGCUCUGCCCGUCUUCUCAGCCCUGGGCUGCUUUGCCCUGGAUGCGGCCCCUUCCUGGGGUCCAGAUUCGGUGUCCGAUGACUAAGGAGGUACUCAGGCAGCUCCCCCUUCUCCCCGCGCCCCGCACUGGGACGGCUUUUGGGACCGGGCCCUCCCUGCCGGGUCCUGCUGGGUCACCUCAGGCCGCUUGUGCCCCCGACCCAGGGCCACAGCCCCUGGCAGGAGGGGCUUUCCAGGCAGCGCUCCCUCCAGCCUCGGCCGCCCUCCAGGUGCCCCACCACCAGCCAGCACUUUGUUCGGGCGUCAAAUGUCGCUGUCACUGAGGCCGAGGAGGCUGAGCCGGGCCACGUAGCAGGCUAUGUACUAACCAAAGCUCGGGGCACCCACAGCCUAAAACGAGAAGGCUUCCUUCUGAGCGAGAUUCUGAGCCCCUGCUGUGUCCAGAGCAGCCGCCUGCACCCAUGGGCCAGCGCCCGUGUGGCACCAGGAUCUGUGUCCCCGUUCGUUACGGCUUUUGUAACAGCAUCUCCGCAGACUCAGGGAGCAGGAGCAGCGCGCGUGUCAGUGGGGCUCUGACAGUGUCUGUGGGCCGGGGGUCCUCUGGCUGAGGGUGGCCCAGGGGCGGAGUGAGGUCUCAGUCCGGCCGCCUCUCCUGGGAGGCUGGACCAGGAAGCCCCCCCCCAACUUCUCAGGGCCCCCGGCGGCGCCCCGGUCCUCGUGGGCGGCUGCUCUGACCUCGCUUCUACCUGGCUGGCAGCUGGCAGCCACACUUGGCACCUGGCCACAGGGACCUUCCCAAAACCAGCAAGGGAGAGAGUCGCUUGGCAAACUAGGCGCUAACGUCUCAGGUGUCACGGUCGGGGACGUGACAUUCCGUGACGGUGGCCCCGUUCCACGGGUUAGGCGUGAAGAGAGGACGCCUCAGGGUGUGGCCGUCAGGGGCGGGGUGGGAGUGGGGGGCAGGGGGGUGUCGAGGGUCUGUGGGCCACAGUGCAGGACCACCACGCUCAACGGCCCUGGGACGCCUCGGGCCGCAGAGGGAGCUCAUCCGGGUUGUGCACCAGCCGCCAGGGAGCCGGGACAGGGCUCAGGGCUCCUGAGCAGGCCUGCCUCGUGGCUCUGCCCCAGCGCGAGGGUCCGAGGAAGCACCGCGCCCGUGGGGACGGGGGACCCAGAGCCACUUAGAUGGUGGUAAAAGGCCUGGCUUCUGCCUGGCGUCUUCAAAUAUUAUCUUUUCUAAUUGUUUCGGCUUUUGGUUUUAAAGAUGUCUUAUCAGUCCUAAUGUUAGUCUGCAGACUUUCAGUUUUCUGAUAACCUCGAAUUCAAUAGUUUUGCUACUUUCUUGCAAUCUUCCGGACUCCACUGCUUUGGCUGGGACUCCCGGGAAAGGAAGGCACCUGUGAUGACAAGCAUGUUUUUGUCGUUCCUGACAUUAAACGUUUAUAAAGUUU
rnacentral:lncRNA from 1 species